AUUGAACGCUGGCGGCAGGCUUAACACAUGCAAGUCGAGCGGGGGAAGGUAGCUUGCUACCGGACCUAGCGGCGGACGGGUGAGUAAUGCUUAGGAAUCUGCCUAUUAGUGGGGGACAACAUCUCGAAAGGGAUGCUAAUACCGCAUACGUCCUACGGGAGAAAGCAGGGGAUCUUCGGACCUUGCGCUAAUAGAUGAGCCUAAGUCGGAUUAGCUAGUUGGUGGGGUAAAGGCCUACCAAGGCGACGAUCUGUAGCGGGUCUGAGAGGAUGAUCCGCCACACUGGGACUGAGACACGGCCCAGACUCCUACGGGAGGCAGCAGUGGGGAAUAUUGGACAAUGGGGGGAACCCUGAUCCAGCCAUGCCGCGUGUGUGAAGAAGGCCUUAUGGUUGUAAAGCACUUUAAGCGAGGAGGAGGCUACUUUAGUUAAUACCUAGAGAUAGUGGACGUUAUUCGCAGAAUAAGCACCGGCUAACUCUGUG
rnacentral:rRNA from 1 species